UUGCUUUGGUAGCACAGAUACUAAAAUCGGAAUGAUACACGGAAGAUUAGUAUAACCCCAACACAAGGACGGCACACAAAUUCGUGAAGCACGUUUGAUCAUG